GUUCGGAAUAACGUUUGGAAACGAACGCUAAUACCGGAUGAGCCCUACGGGGGAAAGAUUUAUCGCCAAAGGAGCAGCCCGCGUCUGAUUAGCUAGUUGGUGGGGUAAAGGCCUACCAAGGCGACGAUCAGUAGCUGGUCUGAGAGGAUGAUCAGCCACACUGGGACUGAGACACGGCCCAGACUCCUACGGGAGGCAGCAGUGGGGAAUAUUGGACAAUGGGCGCAAGCCUGAUCCAGCCAUGCCGCGUGAGUGAUGAAGGCCUUCGGGUUGUAAAGCUCUUUCGCACGCGACGAUGAUGACGGUAGCGUG
rnacentral:rRNA from 1 species